rnacentral:rRNA from 2 species
UGAAAGCAUCUAAGCGGGAAACUUGCCUCAAGAUGAGAUCUCACUGGGAACUUGAUUCCCCUGAAGGGCCGUCGAAGACUACGACGUUGAUAGGCUGGGUGUGUAAGCGUUGUGAGGCGUUGAGCUAACCAGUACUAAUUGCCCGUGAGGCUUGACCAUAUAACACCCAAACA